rnacentral:rRNA from 1 species
AGCGAACGCUGGCGGCAGGCCUAACACAUGCAAGUCGAACGAACUCUUCGGAGUUAGUGGCGGACGGGUGAGUAACACGUGGGAACGUGCCUUUUGGUUCGGAAUAACUCAGGGAAACUUGUGCUAAUACCGAAUGUGCUCUUCGGGGGAAAGAUUUAUCGCCAUUAGAGCGGCCCGCGUCUGAUUAGCUAGUUGGUGAGGUAACGGCUCACCAAGGCGACGAUCAGUAGCUGGUCUGAGAGGAUGACCAGCCACACUGGGACUGAGACACGGCCCAGACUCCUACGGGAGGCAGCAGUGGGGAAUCUUGCGCAAUGGGCGAAAGCCUGACGCAGCCAUGCCGCGUGAAUGAUGAAGGUCGUAGGAUUGUAAAAUUCUUUCACCGGGGACGAUAAUGACGGUACCCGGAGAAGAAGCCCCGGCUAACUUCGUG